rnacentral:rRNA from 1 species
CAGUAGCCGCGGUAAUACGAGGGGAGCUAGCGUUAUUCGGAAUUACUGGGCGUAAAGCGCACGUAGGCGGCUUUGUAAGUUAGAGGUGAAAGCCCAGAGCUCAACUCUGGAAUUGCCUUUAAGACUGCAUCGCUUGAAUCCAGGAGAGGUGAGUGGAAUUCCGAGUGUAGAGGUGAAAUUCGUAGAUAUUCGGAAGAACAUCAGUGGCGAAGGCGGCUCACUGGACUGGUAUUGACGCUGAGGUGCGAAAGCGUGGGGAGCAAACAGGAUUAGAUACCCGCGUAGUCCCUGUCUCUUAUAC